GAUGAACGCUGACGGAAUGCUUAACACAUGCAAGUCAACUUGAAUUUGGGUUUUUUAACUUAGAUUUGGGUGGCGGACGGGUGAGUAACGCGUAAAGAACUUGCCUCACAGCUAGGGACAACAUUUGGAAACGAAUGCUAAUACCUGAUAUUAUGAUUAUAAGGCAUCUUAGAAUUAUGAAAGCUAUAUGCGCUGUGAGAGAGCUUUGCGUCCCAUUAGCUAGUUGGAGAGGUAACGGCUCACCAAGGCGAUGAUGGGUAGCCGGCCUGAGAGGGUGAACGGCCACAAGGGGACUGAGACACGGCCCUUACUCCUACGGGAGGCAGCAGUGGGGAAUAUUGGACAAUGGACCAAGAGUCUGAUCCAGCAAUUCUGUGUGCACGAUGACGUUUUUCGGAAUGUAAAGUGCUUUCAGUUGGGAAGAAAAAAAUGACGGUACCAACAGAAGAAGUGACGGCUAAAUACGUG
rnacentral:rRNA from 1 species